rnacentral:rRNA from 1 species
GGGAAACCCUGACACAGCGACGACCGCGUGAGCGAAGAAGGCCUUAGGUUGUAAAGCUCUGUUUUAAGGGACGAAGAUGUAGAUAAGUAACUGUAUAUACAUAGACGGUACCUUAAGAGGAAGCCCCGGCUAACUACGUGCCAGCAGCCGCGGUAAGACGUAGGGGGCGAGCGUUGUCCGGAAUCACUGGGUGUAAAGGGCACGCAGGCGGGUGUUUAAGUCAUUCGUGAAAUACCGCAGCUUAACUGCGGGGUUGCGAGUGAAACUGGAAAUCUUGAGGGCAAGAGAGGACAGUAGAAUUCCUGGUGUAGCGGUGAAAUGCGUAGAAAUCAGGAGGAAUACCGGUGGCGAAGGCGACUGUCUGGAUUGACCCUGACGCUGAGGUGCGAAAGCGUGGGUAGCAAACAGGAUUAGAUACCCUGGUAGUCUACGCUGUAAACGAUGGAUACUAGGUGUAGGAGGUAUCGACCCCUUCUGUGCCGGAGCAACGCAUAAGUAU